GUCGAACGGCAGCACGAGAGAGCUUGCUCUCUUGGUGGCGAGUGGCGGACGGGUGAGUAAUAUAUCGGAACGUGCCCAGUAGCGGGGGAUAACUACUCGAAAGAGUGGCUAAUACCGCAUACGCCCUACGGGGGAAAGGGGGGGAUUCUUCGGAACCUCUCACUAUUGGAGCGGCCGAUAUCGGAUUAGCUAGUUGGUGGGGUAAAGGCUCACCAAGGCAACGAUCCGUAGCUGGUUUGAGAGGACGACCAGCCACACUGGGACUGAGACACGGCCCAGACUCCUACGGGAGGCAGCAGUGGGGAAUUUUGGACAAUGGGGGAAACCCUGAUCCAGCCAUCCCGCGUGUAUGAUGAAGGCCUUCGGGUUGUAAAGUACUUUUGGCAGAGAAGAAAAGGUAUCUCCUAAUACGAGAUACUGCUGACGGUAUCUGCAGAAUAAGCACCGGCUAACUACGUGCCAGCAGCCGCGGUAAUACGUAGGGUGCAAGCGUUAAUCGGAAUUACUGGGCGUAAAGCGUGUGUAGGCGGUUCGGAAAGAAAGAUGUGAAAUCCCAGGGCUCAACCUUGGAACUGCAUUUUUAACUGCCGAGCUAGAGUAUGUCAGAGGGGGGUAGAAUUCCACGUGUAGCAGUGAAAUGCGUAGAUAUGUGGAGGAA
rnacentral:rRNA from 1 species